rnacentral:lncRNA from 1 species
AUAACCUUUUCUAUUGCAUACGUCCUUUUCAAAAAUAUUAGAGAUUCUUGUAAUUCUGGAGUUUUUGAAAGGGAAAGGUAUUAGAAAUCAUCUGUGGUUUCAAAAUGAGACAGCCGAAGCCCAGAGAAGUAGGGACCUUGUUCACAGCUGAACUGAAGCUGGGUUAGCUACAGAUUCUGGAUGGAGACAGAUCCCUUGAUGUCCAGCCAGUGGACCUUUUGUUAAACCUCCUGGCAGGGAUGCCCAGUUAGAAAUAUGGAUCGGGGGAGGAUGCUACUUCGGCUAAAAAUAUUUUGUAUUCCAAAGGCAGCAAGAUUAAUUGUUGCUUUAGGUAAUAAACCAAAGGAUCAGAAGGAAUGACCUCUGGGAAGAAUGGACCAGAUCUUGGUAAUGUUGUCUUUGGUGUUGACAAAUGAUUCUGAAACCUCUGGACAUUAUUUGGCAGCCACCACGAGAAUGUCGUCCAAAGCACCUUCAUAGGGGAGAACACCAGGCUUGUAUUGCUAUAAUAAGUCAGAUACGUGAAAAGUAGGAUUCAC